AUUGAACGCUGGCGGCAGGCCUAACACAUGCAAGUCGAACGAGUGGCGGACGGGUGACUAAUGUCUGUGAAACUGCCUGAUGGAGGGGGAUAACUACUGGAAACGGUAGCUAAUACCGCAUACCAUAAGAUGUGCCCAGGUGGGAUUAGCGAGUUGGUGGGGUAACGGCUCACCAAGGCGACGAUCCGUAGCUGGUCUGAGAGGAUGACCAGCCACACUGGAACUGAGACACGGUCCAGACUCCUACGGGAGGCAGCAGUGGGGAAUAUUGGACAAUGGGCGCAAGCCUGAUGCAGCCAUGCCGCGUGUAUGAAGAAGGCCUUCGGGUUGUAAAGUACUUUAAGCGGGGAGGCGUUACCCGCAGAAGAAGCACCGGCUAACUCCGUGCCAGCAGCCGCGGUAAUUC
rnacentral:rRNA from 1 species